GACGAACGCUGGCGGCGUGCUUAACACAUGCAAGUCGAACGGAAAGGCCCUGCUUUUGUGGGGUGCUCGAGUGGCGAACGGGUGAGUAACACGUGAGUAACCUGCCCUUGACUUUGGGAUAACUUCAGGAAACUGGGGCUAAUACCGGAUAGGAGCUCCUGCUGCAUGGUGGGGGUUGGAAAGUUUCGGCGGUUGGGGAUGGACUCGCGGCUUAUCAGCUUGUUGGUGGGGUGGUGGCUUACCAAGGCUUUGACGGGUAGCCGGCCUGAGAGGGUGACCGGCCACAUUGGGACUGAGAUACGGCCCAGACUCCUACGGGAGGCAGCAGUGGGGAAUAUUGCACAAUGGGCGGAAGCCUGAUGCAGCAACGCCGCGUGCGGGAUGACGGCCUUCGGGUUGGAAACCGCUUUCGCCUGUGACGAAGCGUGAGUGACGGUAAUGGGUAAAGAAGCACCGGCUAACUACGUG
rnacentral:rRNA from 1 species